rnacentral:rRNA from 1 species
CUCCAGCUUGCUGGAGUGGAUCAGUGGCGAACGGGUGAGUAACACGUGAGCAACCUGCCCCUGACUCUGGGAUAACAGUCGGAAACGAUUGCUAAUACCGGAUAUGCACCAUGAACGCAUGUUCUGUGGUGGGAAAGAUUUUUUGGUUGGGGAUGGGCUCGCGGCCUAUCAGCUUGUUGGUGAGGUAAUGGCUCACCAAGGCGUCGACGGGUAGCCGGCCUGAGAGGGUGACCGGCCACACUGGGACUGAGACACGGCCCAGACUCCUACGGGAGGCAGCAGUGGGGAAUAUUGCACAAUGGGCGAAAGCCUGAUGCAGCAACGCCGCGUGAGGGAUGACGGCCUUCGGGUUGUAAACCUCUUUUAGCAGGGAAGAAGCGAGAGUGACGGUACCUGCAGAAAAAGCGCCGGCUAACUACGUGCCAGCAGCCGCGGUAAUACGUAGGGCGCAAGCGUUAUCCGGAAUUAUUGGGCGUAAAGAGCUCGUAGGCGGUUUGUCGCGUCUGCUGUGAAAACUGGAGGCUCAACCUCCAGCCUGCAGUGGGUACGGGCAGACUAGAGUGCGGUAGGGGAGAUUGGAAUUCCUGGUGUAGCGGUGGAAUGCGCAGAUAUCAGGAGGAACACCGAUGGCGAAGGCAGAUCUCUGGGCCGUAACUGACGCUGAGGAGCGAAAGGGUGGGGAGCAAACAGGCUUAGAUACCCUGGUAGUCCACCCCGUAAACGUUGGGAACUAGUUGUGGGGGCCUUUCCACGGUCUCCGUGACGCAGCUAACGCAUUAAGUUCCCCGCCUGGGGAGUACGGCCGCAAGGCUAAAACUCAAAGGAAUUGACGGGGACCCGCACAAGCGGCGGAGCAUGCGGAUUAAUUCGAUGCAACGCGAAGAACCUUACC